rnacentral:misc_RNA from 1 species
AACCUCACCCCACCUGGGUUUUUUGCCCGGAUGGCGGUGGAUUGGGUGUUGCCUUUACCGGCUCGCCUCAAAAGCAUAAGCGCCUUGGAUGUAAUACGUUUCAUCCUCUUGGGUGGCUUACAACCCCACAUAUCUCAUG